GUAGCCUCUCUCUUAUCCGGACUCAUCGGGACUGAGGCCAGUCCGGAUAACGUUUUUUCCGGUUAAACCGACGGUCCCUAAAAGUCGUUAAAUUGGUACGCAUAUUUUGUAGUUUAUAAGCCAAUAAUGACUUUUACGUAAAAAUAAUAAAACUAGACGCUUUAUUAUGAUAUCUGUGAACACAAAACACAAGAAAAUAGUUAGUUGCAGUCCGGUUGCACCAAUGUGCUGAUAAUUAUUUUCCGGUUAAAGAGAUGUCACUUCCGUGGAGUGUAGUCCGGUUAAACCGAUGUCCGGUUAAAAGGUGUCCGGUUAAGAGAGAGGCUACUGUAGUUGAAUUCUUAAUUAAC